rnacentral:rRNA from 1 species
GAUGAACGCUGGCGGCGUGCCUAAUACAUGCAAGUCGAGCGAACAGACGAGGAGCUUGCUCCUCUGACGUUAGCGGCGGACGGGUGAGUAACACGUGGAUAACCUACCUAUAAGACUGGGAUAACUUCGGGAAACCGGAGCUAAUACCGGAUAAUAUAUUGAACCUCAUGGUUCAAUAGUGAAAGACGGUUUUGCUGUCACUUAUAGAUGGAUCCGCGCCGCAUUAGCUAGUUGGUAAGGUAACGGCUUACCAAGGCAACGAUGCGUAGCCGACCUGAGAGGGUGAUCGGACACACGGGAACUGAGACACGGUCCAGACUCCUACGGGAGGCAGCAGUAGGGACUCUUCCGCAAUGGGCGAAAGCCUGACGGAGCAACGCCGCGUGAGUGAUGAAGGUCUUCGGAUCGUAAAACUCUGUUAUUAGGGAAGAACAAAUGUGUAAGUAACUAUGCACGUCUUGACGGUACCUAAUCAGAAAGCCACGGCUAACUACGUG